rnacentral:rRNA from 1 species
CACGUAGGGGGCAAGCGUUGUUCGGAAUUACUGGGCGUAAAGGGCUCGUAGGCGGCCAACUAAGUCAGACGUGAAAUCCCUCGGCUUAACCGGGGAACUGCGUCUGAUACUGGAUGGCUUGAGGUUGGGAGAGGGAUGCGGAAUUCCAGGUGUAGCGGUGAAAUGCGUAGAUAUCAGGAGGAACACCUAUUGCGAAGGCAGCUCGCUGGGACGUUACUGACGCUGAGACGCGAAAGCGUGGGGAGCAAACAGG